rnacentral:rRNA from 1 species
UACGUAGGGUGCAAGCGUUGCCCGGAUUUAUUGGGCGUAAAGGGCGCGUAGGCGGCUCGGCACGUCCGUUGUGAAAUCGCCCGGCUCAACUGGGCGGGGUCAGCGGAUACGGCCGAGCUUGAGCAAGCUAGGGGGCAAUGGAAUUCCCGGUGUAGUGGUGGAAUGCGUAGAUAUCGGUAGGAACACCAGUGGCGAAGGCGGUCUCCUGGGGCAUUCGUGACGCUGAGGCGCGAAAGCUGGGGGAGCGAACGGG